CAGUGUCUUGCAGUGUCAGGGUAAGGUGUAAGCAGGGUUCAGUGUCAGUAACAGGAAGGGUGUAGUGUCAGGCAGUGUCAGGGUAAGGUGUAGGCAGGGUGCAGUGUCAGGAUUGGGUAUAGGCAGGGUGCAGUGUCAGGGUAAGGUAUAAGCAGGGUUCAGUGUCAGUAACAGGCAGGGUGUAAUGUCAGGGUAAGGUGUAGGCAGGGUGCAGUGUCAGGAUUGGGUAUAGGCAGGGUGCAGUGUCAGGGUAAGGUAUAGGCAGGGUUCAGUGUCAGUAACAGGCAGGGUGUAAUGUCAGGGUAAGGUGUAGGCAGGGUGGAGUGUCAGGAUUGGGUAUAGGCAGGGUGCAGUGUCAGGGUAAGGUAUAAGCAGGGUUCAGUGUCAGUAACAGGCAGGGUGUAAUGUCAGGGUAAGGUGUAGGCAGGGUGCAGUGUCAGGAUUGGGUAUAGGCAGGGUGCAGU